rnacentral:rRNA from 1 species
AGCAGCCGCGGUAAUUCCAGCUCCAAUAGCGUAUAUUAAAGUUGUUGCAGUUAAAAGCUGUAGUUGAAUUUUCGGAUCAGUACGCCGGUCGUGCCUUUCGGGUAUGCACUGGUGUCACGGUUUUCUCCCUUUCUGAAGAACCAUCAUGCCAUUCAUUGUGGUGCGGAUCAGGGAUUAAUCAAAUGUACGUUGUAAAAGCAUGCUCAGUGUUCGAAGCUGGAUCGAGUUG